rnacentral:rRNA from 1 species
UGAGGAAUAUUGGACAAUGGGCGAAAGCCUGAUCCAGCCAUGCCGCGUGUGUGAAGAAGGUCUUCGGAUUGUAAAGCACUUUAAGUUGGGAGGAAGGGCAGUUACCUAAUACGUAUCUGUUUUGACGUUACCGACAGAAUAAGCACCGGCUAACUCUGUGCCAGCAGCCGCGGUAAUACAGAGGGUGCAAGCGUUAAUCGGAAUUACUGGGCGUAAAGCGCGCGUAGGUGGUUUGUUAAGUUGGAUGUGAAAUCCCCGGGCUCAACCUGGGAACUGCAUUCAAAACUGACAAGCUAGAGUAUGGUAGAGGGUGGUGGAAUUUCCUGUGUAGCGGUGAAAUGCGUAGAUAUAGGAAGGAACACCAGUGGCGAAGGCGACCACCUGGACUGAUACUGACACUGAGGUGC